UACGAAGGGUGCAAGCGUUACUCGGAAUUACUGGGCGUAAAGCGUGCGUAGGUGGUUUGUUAAGUCUGCUGUGAAAGCCCCGGGCUCAACCUGGGAAUGGCAGUGGAUACUGGCAAGCUAGAGUGCGAUAGAGGGGUGUGGAAUUCCCGGUGUAGCGGUGAAAUGCGUAGAGAUCGGGAGGAACACCAGUGGCGAAGGCGGCACCCUGGAUCAGCACUGACACUCAGGCACGAAAGCGUGGGGAGCAAAAAGG
rnacentral:rRNA from 1 species